CCUUGGGAAUCAGGAAGAAACUGGAGUUGCAAAGCUUUGUAAACUUGGUGAUUUAUUUUAAAAAAUCGCAGUCAAAUUUAUGAGUAAAUUUUAGGUACAUAAUCAAACAGCUAAUUAUCUUGUCUGUGUAAUUGAAUACUUAAAGAGAGGACCACUGUCUCCAGAUGAAGGCCAAGCAAUUGCUGGAGGGCUGUCAUCAAGGAGAGAAGUACCCGGAACAUAAUAUGGAGAAGGAAGGGAAGAAAUACGGGCAGAGAGAUCGAAGUCGCUCUUACACUAGCAUAUAUGUGAAGGUUCAUCUUUAACAUCAUACAGAUUCCACAGAUUCAGGAUAUCAGGAGCAUGCAACUUUUUAUAAAAAAAGAGGCUUCAAAUUGUUCUCCUAGACCCACUGACUUCAGAAGGAUCCGUAACGACAUCAAGCUCACCUUGCCUUCCAGAACAGCCAUUAAGAAAAUACCUUACCAAGAAAAAUGUCACCUGAAUCUAAAUGAGGCAUAAAAGAAAAUUUCUUAACUUCUUUUUUUUAGGUUUCCCCAAAAUGUAUCCAGUUUGCCACUACAGACAUUUUUUUAAUUUCAAACCUAAAAUCUGUUGAAAUGUAUUUCUUUAUUUUUUCUGAAUUAGAGUUUUUAUAGAAGUCAUUUUCUAAGUUCAAAUCUAUGAACCGUUUAAUGCAAAUAACGGGACUAAAGAAUAUUGUAUUUAAUGUGGAAUCAAAGGAGAAUCUUCCACUCACUGGUAAACACUAAUAUAUUUCCAUAACUUUUAAUUAAAUACUCAAGUACAGAAAAGAAAUAUUUUAAAACAAAAACAUUUUUAAAGAUUCAUGUGCAAAGAAACAUCAUCAUUUCUAAAGUAUUUCAUGGAACUCAUGUACAGUAAAUUUCAAUUAUUCCUGCUAAGGGAGGACAUUUAAUCUGCACAGAGAUAUGAAAAGUACAUCCAGUAAUUUCAAGUGCCUUCACUACAAUUUUAUGAGAGUGAUAUCUGAAUUGACUUUUGCAACUGCCCUUUUUCUUCAGUCUAUGUCCCCUGGUUAACCGUAGCUCCUAUCAUAUUGACAUGGUUAAAAGAGAGAAAGGAAAAAAAAGAUACAGGAAAACUACAGAGAAUGUAUAAUCUACAAAUUGAAUUAUAGUCAAAUAUCAAUCUUAAGGGCCAAAAUAUUACAAAAUACUUCUCUGUUAGAUAGAGUUUGAUGGAAGAAGAGACCUUUCUGAACCCAUCAAUUCCUACUUAAUACCCUGCAACUUAAAAACCACUCAGCUCUUUAUAAAAACUAAUUCCACAUUUGGCUUGCAUGAUAUGAUACUUGUGAAAAAUGUCCAUGGCUGGAAAAAUACAUUAUCUCCAUUAUUCUAUUGAGAUAAACACAUUUUAC
rnacentral:lncRNA from 1 species